rnacentral:rRNA from 1 species
CGUUCGAUGGGCCUACCAUGCAGUCGAGCGGUAACAGGAAGCACCUGGCUGCUUUGCUGACGAGUGGCGGAGGGGUGAGUAGUGUGGGGGAAAGUGCGUGGGGGGGGGGGAUAACUACGGGAAACGGUCGCUAAUACCGCAAAACGUCGCAAGACCAAAGAGGGGGACCUUCGGGCCUCUUGCCAUCAGAUGUGCCCAGAUGGGAUUAGCUAGUAUGUGGGGUAACGGCUCACCUAGGCCACUAUCCCUAGCUGGUCUGAGAGGAUGACCACCCACACUGGAACUGACACACGGUCCACACUCCUACGGGAGGCAGCAGUGGGGAAUAUUGCACAAUGGGCGCAAGCCUGAUGCACCCAUGCCGCGUGUAUGAAAAAGGCCUUCGGGUUGUAAAGUACUUUCAGCGGGGAGGAAGGCGAUAAGGUUAAUAACCUUGUCGAUUGAUUUACCCGCAAAAGAAGCACCGGCUAACUCCGUGCCAGCAGCCGCGGUAAUACAGAGGGUGCAAGCGUUAAUCAGAAUUACUGGGCGUAAAGCGCACGCACGCUGUCUGUCAAGUCAGAUGUGAUAUCCCCGGGCUCAACCUGGGAACUGCACUCGAAACUGGCGCGCUAGAGUCUUGUAGAGGGGGGUAAAAUUUCCUGUGUACGUGAGGUGGCAAAAAAAAUUAAGCCU